rnacentral:rRNA from 1 species
GAUGAACGCUGGCGGCGUGCUUAACACAUGCAAGUCGAACGAAGCACUUUAUUUGAUUUCCUUCGGGACUGAUUAUUUUGUGACUGAGUGGCGGACGGGUGAGUAACGCGUGGGUAACCUGCCUUGUACAGGGGGAUAACAGUUGGAAACGGCUGCUAAUACCGCAUAAGCGCACGGCAUCGCAUGAUGCAGUGUGAAAAACUCCGGUGGUAUAAGAUGGACCCGCGUUGGAUUAGCUAGUUGGUGAGGUAACGGCCCACCAAGGCGACGAUCCAUAGCCGACCUGAGAGGGUGACCGGCCACAUUGGGACUGAGACACGGCCCAAACUCCUACGGGAGGCAGCAGUGGGGAAUAUUGCACAAUGGGCGAAAGCCUGGUGCAGCGACGCCGCGUGAGCGAAGAAGUAUUUCGGUAUGUAAAGCUCUAUCAGCAGGGAAGAUAAUGACGGUACCUGACGAAGAAGCACCGGCUAAAUACGUG